rnacentral:rRNA from 1 species
AUGAACGUUUGCGGCGUGCCUUAUGCAUGCAAGUCGAACGGUUCAACAAGCCGAAAGGUUUGUAGGAUAGUGGCGAACGGCUGAGUAAUACGUAAGUAACCUACCUUCAAGUGGGGAAUAACCCAUCGAAAGGUGGGCUAAUACUGCAUAUGGUAAUUAAGCUGAGGCUUAGUUAUUAAAGCCUUAGGGCGCUUGAAGAGGGGCUUGCGUCCGAUUAGUUAGUUGGUGGGGUAAUGGCUCACCAAGGCGAUGAUCGGUAGCUG